UAGGAAAUAGAUGAAAUAGAGAUGUGUAGGAACCUACACUCCUGAAUUUUUAAAAUCCUUAAUGGUAACACAAAUUUCUACCACUCUCCUCCUCCUCUAAGGCAGUACUGUUUUUGGUAUACUCUACUGCGUGAGGGUGUAUUUGGAGUGUUUCUGAUGCUGCCACUGGCUUUUAGGUGACUGUUAGUUGAUCCCAGCUUUUUGUUAUCUUCCCUUAAAGGAUACAUUGAGUUUAGCCCAACUCAGUGCUAUUUUUGUUUAUUUUACUAUUUUCUGCAUAUGUUUCAAACAACUGAAAAAUUGUGCAUUCUUUUGGCAUUUAGUUCUGAUUCACAGUGAAUUUUUAAUAACUUGGACCAAUGCCUUGAACCAAGGAAUAUCCUGUGCUUACCUAUCUUAGGUGAUAGGUCUUUGAUGCCAACUGGUGACAAAUGAUCCAGCUCUGAAACCCAUCUGACUGCCUGCUUUCUUGGACCACUCUCGUUAUCAACGGUCUGGGUUUGGAACUGUAGGAACUAGACUCUGAGAUGAAGUGAAAUGUGCAGAUAUUUUCUAGGGAACAGUCCUAGAAAUGAAUACUUUUGGAAGGUAGGCAAAAGAAGCAGUGUUGGGCAGAAGAAAAUGAGCAGUAACAAAAGUCUGAUAGCUCAGUCCGACAAGCUGGAGCUCUGAAGAUAAAAGUGGCCAUUUAGAGUAUCCACCAAAGCAGCUAUUAUUGAUUACUAUUGGCUACCACAGAAUACGUCCUAGAAAAUGGAAAGAAAGUAUGAGCUUUUUACCAGGCAGAAGCUAGAGGAUCUAUGCAUAGAGAAGGAAAGAACUGAGGACCCCAGCUGCCUGACAGGCACCCCUGAUGGAAAAAUGCCAGAAAUCCGUUUAUCACACCCAAUACUGCCACGUGGAUUCCUUCCUCCUUAGACCACAAAAAUAAACCCUAUUGUACUGUUUAUUUUUAGCA
rnacentral:lncRNA from 1 species